AGUCUCUCGAAACCGCACCUUUUUCUUUCGAAAGGGGGAGCGGCCUUCGGAUUUGGACGCCUGCCGCGCGCGCGCCCUUCGGGGUUUCGCGGCUCGUCUCUAAACGCAUUAGCGAACCGCCCACGUCCGCUCUCAGACGCGAUAAGCUUGCGUCGUCAACGAGCGGUCGCGUCGGGUUGCCCGUCCGCUGCUAAAAAAGAACCUAAUUUCACCG
rnacentral:misc_RNA from 1 species